AUUUGAGCAUGCGUGGCAGCCUUCAAAAUGGCCACCACUCCAAUGUUUGCAGGCCCAAAAGUCAGCCUGGGAUGGGCUAUGGCGAUGUCAUAAUGUAAUGCCAGAGCUGCUGCAUCAUCCUUCUACAUGCUGAGAUGUGUCUAGGAAUCCCAGUGAAGCUCAUCAGUGCUGCUCCUCAAACUGCUGAAUAGGAUGCUGUUCAAUGAUGUGAGGCACCCUUUGCUCUGUCCCUUGAGCUCACAUUCCAAGAUGAAAUCUCCCAGGUGGCGAUGCAGAGCAGGAUGUUGCCUGUCCAGCCAAAUGUUAGCAUUUUCGAUGUUGUCCAAAUGCUCUUAUCUGUUGUUUCCUGUCCUUUUUAAAUGAUGUAUUAUAUUUUUCUUCUUCAAAAAUCUGUUUAUGCCUUGAAGCAGUCUUGCUGCUGUUUUUGCCACUAUACAGGAUUUUCUUAGAGCUUAAGUAUGAUAACAUGUCUUGUAGAGGAUAUUGUAUUAUUACUGUGCAUAUCUGUGCGAGACAUUACAUUGGAAACUGCAAGACUGUAGGUUUGUAAUUUAUAAAGCUAUGUUAGGUACUUAUA